GGAAAUAUGCCCGAAUUAUUAAGGACUACUUUGAUAGAGUAAAUUACAGAGGUUUGAACCCUCUUAUUUCCU
rnacentral:tRNA from 1 species